rnacentral:lncRNA from 1 species
GGAGAUUAUUUUAAAGUCAUUUUUUUUUUUUAAGUUCCAGUAGUGGAUCCAGAAGGGGGUUCCGGGGGUUUGAAACACCCCCUUUUUUUGGGACAGUCAAUGCAUUUGAAUGGGGACAUAUAGUUGAGACCUCCCCUUUUUAAAAAUGGCUGGAUCUGCCACUGAGUCAACAAGGCUGGAUUUUUUCUUUCUGUACUAAGCUAAAUCAAAAGUUCGAAGAAUUGGACACAAACCUGGCCAAAAACAUUUUUUGUGAAAUCCUGAAUGCCAAAACAUUCAAUUGAUCACAUUGCACAUCUCUCAAUACUGUCUAUUUUUAAAUGCAACAAUAUAUUGUGAUUAUGGACAUUGAUCAUAGUUUAGAUAUGUAACUAUAGUAUAUAAGUUGGGAGUUUUGUAGGAUUAGUUUUUCACUUUCAGUAAGCAAUUUUUGUUUAAUUGCAUAUUAAAGGAGUAGGUCCGGUAAGGCCAAUUUUGGCCUCAAAAUUUCAGGUUCAUCUAACGAAAGUUUUGGGACACUUUUUAAAACCUUAGUGUCUAUUUCAAUGAUUUGAUUAGUAAUGGAAAAUUUUAACUAAUUAAGUCAUUAAAAAAGCUCUGAUUCAAGCUUAUAUAUGAAAAAUCUAUCAAAUAUGCCAAAAAACG